rnacentral:rRNA from 1 species
UACAGAGGGGGCAAGCGUUGUUCGGAAUUACUGGGCGUAAAGGGCGCGUAGGCGGUUCGUUAAGUCCCGCGUGAAAUCCCCCGGCUCAACCGGGGAAUGGCGCGGGAAACUGGCGGGCUUGAGUUCGGGAGAGGGAAGCGGAAUUCCGGGUGUAGCGGUGAAAUGCGUAGAUAUCCGGAGGAACACCGGUGGCGAAGGCGGCUUCCUGGACCGACACUGACGCUGAGGCGCGAAAGCUAGGGGAGCAAACGGG